GAUGAACGCUGGCGGCGUGCCUAAUACAUGCAAGUCGAGCGAACAGACGAGGAGCUUGCUCCUCUGACGUUAGCGGCGGACGGGUGAGUAACACGUGGAUAACCUCCCUAUAAGACUGGGAUAACUUCGGGAAACCGGAGCUAAUACCGGAUAACAUGCUGAACCGCAUGGUUCAACAGUGAAAGACGGUCUUGCUGUCACUUAUAGAUGGAUCCGCGCCGCAUUAGCUAGUUGGUAAGGUAACGGCUUACCAAGGCAACGAUGCGUAGCCGACCUGAGAGGGUGGUCGGCCCCCCUGGAACUGAGCCACGGUCCAGACGCCUACGGGAGGCAGCAGUAGGGAAUCUUCCGCAAUGGUCGAAAGCCUGACGGAGCGACGCCGCGUGAGUGAAGGAGGUCUUCGGAUCGUAAAGCUCUGUUAUUAGGUGAGAACAAAUUUGUAAGUAACUGUGCACGUCUUGACGGUACCUAAUCAGAAAGCAACGGCUAACUACGUG
rnacentral:rRNA from 1 species